rnacentral:rRNA from 1 species
AACGAACGCUGGCGGCAUGCCUAACACAUGCAAGUCGAACGAGACCUUCGGGUCUAGUGGCGCACGGGUGCGUAACGCGUGGGAACCUGCCCUUAGGUUCGGAAUAACUCCCCGAAAGGGGUGCUAAUACCGGAUAAUGUCUUCGGACCAAAGAUUUAUCGCCUUUGGAUGGGCCCGCGUUGGAUUAGCUAGUUGGUAGGGUAAAAGCCUACCAAGGCGACGAUCCAUAGCUGGUCUGAGAGGAUGAUCAGUCACACUGGGACUGAGACACGGCCCAGACUCCUACGGGAGGCAGCAGUGGGGAAUAUUGGACAAUGGGCGAAAGCCUGAUCCAGCAAUGCCGCGUGAGUGAUGAAGGCAUUAGGGUUGUAAAGCUCUUUUACCCGGGAUGAUAAUGACAGUACCGGGAGAAUAAGCUCCGGCUAACUCCGUG